UACGAAGGGGGCUAGCGUUGUUCGGAAUUACUGGGCGUAAAGGGCGCGUAGGCGGUCCCUCAAGUCAGGCGUGAAAGCCCCGGGCUCAACCUGGGAACUGCGCUUGAGACUGGUGGGCUAGAGUUCGGGAGAGGAUGGUGGAAUUCCCAGUGUAGAGGUGAAAUUCGUAGAUAUUGGGAAGAACACCGAUGGCGAAGGCAGCCAUCUGGACCGACACUGACGCUGAGGCGCGAAAGCGUGGGGAGCAAACAGG
rnacentral:rRNA from 1 species